CCCUUAGAUGUUCUGGGCCGCACGCGCGCUACACUGACGAUGGCAACGAGUUUUUCCUUCGCCGAAAGGUGUGGGUAAUCUUUUGAAACAUCGUCGUGCUGGGGAUAGAUCAUUGCAAUUUUUGAUCUUGAACGAGGAAUUCCUAGUAAGCGCGAGUCAUCAGCUCGCGUUGAUUACGUCCGUGCCCUUUGUACACACCGCCCGUCGCUACUACCGAUUGAAUGGUUUAGUGAGGACUCCUGAUUGGCGCCGCCGCCCCGGCAACGGAGCAGCGGACUGCCGAAAAGUUGUUCAAACUUGAUCAUUUAGAGGAAGUAAAAGUCGUAACA
rnacentral:rRNA from 1 species